CGUGAAAACGUAGCUAGCUACCGUAGCUGCGCGCGCGUCCCCUAUGCAUCGAUACGACUAGCAUCUUUUGACUUCUGAAGGGGUUGUAGCUGAUCUUUUUUAAAAGAUAUGUGCACACCUCUAUCUACCACCAAUCGUGCACUUUUUUUAGGCUUUAUUGCCUAUGUCUAUCAUAUAAACACUUAAUUUGUGACAAGAAUGUUAUUGAUGAAAUUUAAUAUAUACAACUUUCAACAACGGAUCACGARUGGCUCCCAUCGAUGAAGAACGCACGAAAUGCGAUAAGUAAUGUGAAUUGCAGAAUUCAGUGAAUUAUCGAAUCUUUGAACGCACCUUGCGCUCCUUGGUAUUCCGAGGAGCAUGCCUGCCAUGAGUGUCACCAAAAAUCAACCUCUUCUGCAGCUUGGAUUUGGAGUGUUGCUGGGUCAUUGUUGGCUCCUCAUAAAUGCAUCAACUCUUGUGUAGGCUUUGGUUUGGUAAUAUUUAUGCCAUCGCUGUAAUGCAAAACAAACAACCUUUGAAAUUUGACCUCAAAUUAGGUAGGACUACCCGCUGAACUUAAGCAUAUCCAUAGCGGAGGAUCGGCUGCCUCGCGCGCUAGAAAACCCAUGGCGUUUAGGACGCAAUCGAUCGACAGUACGAUCCCCCCGAUGCCGAUCACAAAUAGCUACGAUCGAUCCA
rnacentral:rRNA from 1 species